UGACACAGGGAGCGGGAGGAUGGCGGGGACGAGACGGGAGCUGCGCACAAGUUACAUAAUAAAUGCCUUCACACAAGUGGACUCCGCAGAUAAUACUGACAUUACAGCAGUCAACGUUACUGGAGGCGACUACUCGGUGUUUUGAUUGAGAACGACUGAUACAGAGAACCAGGAAUACAUGGAAAAAGAGACAAAUUAAGGACGAUGAAAAAAGAAAAGUUACGCACCGCACUGCAGUUUCUCGAAGCCUUGGUGUGCCCCUGGCUUCCUGGAGACGCUCCCCUUCACUCCGCCAUUUCGCCAUGCUGUUCUAGGGAACGAACACAGCCAUGACACACCGUCCACAAGAGCCGACAUACGAAAGAGCAGAAAUGUUGAGACGUGUUUCAACUCUGACGCACGGCAAAUAAAAGGUGCUUCGUUAUCUCAGUAGUUAAUGCUACACUAACUGGGCCAGCAUGGUCGAGGUAUUCAGGUCUUGUACUGAGGUGACCGGCAUCAUACUACAUUUCCGUUCCUCGCGUUACCGUGACAAAUUAUAUGAAUGAGGUCAUGUAUUAUGGAGGUUCAUUGUUCUAAUUGCUAGUUCAGAAAUGCCCUAAUAUGAAGCUGUUGCUGUCAUUUUGUUCCCGGUGACACUGACUUCCGCUGCAGCAUUAUGAAGUGAGCCUGCCAUCAUUAAUAACGAGCACCCGUGUGUACAGUGUCUCGCUCUGGCGUGCAUCCUGUUCAGUAUAUAUUAAGAUGAGCUCGGUAUGUCAUCAUUUCUUCCUUGAUUUUCCUUUUUAUGGAAGAGGGACACUAGCUUGGGUUAAUAAAAUUGAUAAAAAAAAAAAAAAGCCCGCUAAAAGUACAAGGUCUUAUAGAGUACAGUAAAAAAAAUAUAUUAUCUAGAAAAUUGAAUAGUGUCUUAAUGAUGCUAAUAUGCUUUUUUUUUUUUUUUUAUUAGUACAAAGAAUGAUAACCAUAAGUUAUAAACUGCUGCUUUUCUUUUAGUAUCAUUAAUAUUUCCCAACAAAAUUAUAUAUCCUUGUACUAGUCGAUAUUUAGAGCGGUUCUCUUUCUGUAAUUCCUAUUCGCAUUUUUAAAUUCUUCAUUCAAUUUAAACGAGACGAGUGGUAUAUCAUAUAUUAAAUCAAUUAGAAAUGCAAGAAAAUAAUUAUAAUGGUGAAUGAAAUAAGAGUAUGAACAGGAACGAAUAAAGACCUACCGUACUAAACUCUCGUAACUCUGAGACGUUAAUACAAAGGACGUUAGUUGUAAAUAAAGUAAUAGGCAAUUUAUGGCACACCCACACAGAUUAAUCCUGCUCAAGUCAUUCACCUGAAGUGCUGAUGAUUCAUGGGAGCGAUGCUGAAGGCGGAAGUUGUGUUGUGAAGUCUCAAAAAUGAAAGCCCUCCUUCACUCACAUGUCGGAUUGAUGCCACAAGUACUAGUCACUGAAAAUGUCGAGUGGAUGUAAAUGAAAAGAAUCCAAAAUGUAAUUCGCUCAAGAGAAAA